rnacentral:rRNA from 1 species
AGAGUUUGAUCCUGGCUCAGGAUAAACGCUGGCGGCGCACAUAAGACAUGCAAGUCGAACGGAAGUCGUUGUAAUGAUAUAGACAUGGACGGAGAACUUGUUCGAAGAAAGUGAAAGUUGACUUACAACAAUGGCUUUAGUGGCGGACUGGUGAGUAACACGUAAGCAACCUGCCUAUCAGAGAGGAACAACAGUUAGAAAUGACUGCUAAUACCGCAUAUGCCUUAGCAACACAUGUUGCAAAAGGGAAAGGAGCAAUCCGCUGAUAGAUGGGCUUGCGUCUGAUUAGAUAGUUGGUGGGGUAACGGCCUACCAAGUCGACGAUCAGUAGCCGGACUGAGAGGUUGAACGGCCACAUUGGGACUGAGAUACGGCCCAGACUCCUACGGGAGGCAGCAGUCGGGAAUAUUGCGCAAUGGAGGAAACUCUGACGCAGUGACGCCGCGUGCAGGAAGAAGGUUUUCGGAUUGUAAACUGCUUUAGACAGGGAAGAACAAAGACAGUACCUGUAGAAUAAGCUCCGGCUAACUACGUGCCAGCAGCCGCGGUAAUACGUAGGGAGCAAGCGUUAUCCGGAUUUAUUGGGUGUAAAGGGUGCGUAGACGGUAAUGCAAGUUAGUUGUGAAAUCCCUCGGCUUAACUGAGGAACUGCAACUAAAACUACAUUUCUUGAGUAUUGGAGGGGAAAGUGGAAUUCCUAGUGUAGCGGUGAAAUGCGUAGAUAUUAGGAGGAACACCGGUGGCGAAGGCGACUUUCUGGACAAUUACUGACGUUGAGGCACGAAAGUGUGGGGAGCAAACAGGAUUAGAUACCCUGGUAGUCCACACCGUAAACGAUGGAUACUAGGUGUAGGAUGUGAUAAACAUUCUGUGCCGUCGCAAACGCAAUAAGUAUCCCACCUGGGGAGUACGGCCGCAAGGUUGAAACUCAAAGGAAUUGACGGGGGCCCGCACAAGCAGUGGAGUAUGUGGUUUAAUUCGACGCAACGCGAAGAACCUUACCA